GGGACUUAGCGGCGCCCUCUCCGCGCAGUCUGCUCCGAGCACCUCGCUCCGCGGCUCCGCUCUGCGCCCCCAGCCCGGCGGGCAUGCGCCCCCUGAGCUCCUGGCCGCCCAGAGCUCACGCCGCCCCCCGGAACCCCCGAGAGCCGGCCGCGCAGGAUGGGCGCCCCGGGCUCCACGCCGCUGCCCCCGCUGCUGCUGCUGAUGCUGGGAGUCGGGUGCUGCGCCCGGCAGGUGCUGGUCCCCCAGGGGCCGCUGUACCGCGUGGCUGGCACGGCCGUCUCCAUCUCCUGCAACGUCACCGACUACGAGGGCCCCUCCCAGCAGGACUUUGAGUGGUUCCUGUACAGGCCCGAGAACCCCGAUGCUUCCGUGGGCAUCGUCAGCACCCGGGACCCCGGCUUCUCCUACGCGGUCUUCAGGCCCCGGGUGGCGGCCGGCGAGGUGCGGGUGCAGCGGGUGCGGGGCGACGCCGCGGUGCUCACCAUCGCGCGCCUGCAGGCCCAGGACGCCGGCGUGUACGAGUGCUACACCCCGUCCACCGACGCCCGCUUCCUGGGCAGCUACAGCGGCAAGGUGGAGCUGAGAGUUCUUCCAGAUGUGCUGCAGGUGUCCGCCGCCUCCCUCGGGCCCCGGGGCCGGCAGAUGCCCCCCUCCCCCUCCCGCCUGACGGUGCACGAGGGCCAGGAGCUGGCCCUGGGCUGCCUGGCGCGGACCAGCACGCAGCAGCACACGCACCUGGCCGUGUCCUUUGGCCGCGCGCUGCCCGAGGCCCCCGUGGGGCGGGCGACGCUGCAGGAGGUGGUGGGGCUCCGGCCGGACCUGGCUGUGGAGGCCGGCGCCCCCUACGCCCAGCGGCUGGCGGCCGGGGAGCUGCGGCUGGCCAAGGAGGGCGCCGAGCGGUACCGCAUGGUGCUGGGGGGAGCCCAGGCCGAGGACGCCGGCACCUACCACUGCACCGCCGCCGAGUGGAUCCAGGACCCCGACGGCAGCUGGGCCCAGAUCGCGGAGAAGAGGGCCGUGCUGGCCCACGUGGACGUGCAGACGCUGUCCAGCCAGCUGGCGGUGGCCGUGGGGCCCGGGGAGCGCCGCAUCGGCCCCGGGGAGCCCUUGGAACUGCUGUGCAACGUGUCCGGGGCGCUGCCCACACCGGGCCACCACGCCACCUACUCCGUGGGCUGGGAGAUGGCCCCCGCAGGGGCGCCCGGGCCUGGCCGCCUGGUAGCCCAGUUGGACACGGAGGGUGUGGGCAGUCUGGGCUCCGGCUACGAGGGCCGGCACAUCGCCAUGGAGAAGGUGGCGUCCAGAACCUACCGGCUACGCAUGGAGGCCGCCCAGCCCGGCGACUCGGGCACCUACCGCUGCCUCGCCAAGGCCUACGUGCGAGGGUCCGGGGUCCGGCUGCGCGAAGCGGCCAGCGCCCGCUCCCGGCCCCUCCCCGUGCACGUGCGGGAGGAAGGCGUGGUGCUGGAGGCGGUGGCGUGGCUGGCGGGAGGCGCCGUGUACCGCGGGGAGACGGCCUCGCUGCUCUGCAACAUCUCGGUGCGGGGCGGCCCCGCGGGGCUGCGGCUGGCCACCAGCUGGUGGGUGGAGCGGCCCGAGGGCCCCGGGCUGAGCUCCGCGCCCGCCCAGCUGGUGGGCGGCACGGGGCAGGACGGCGUGGCGAAGCUGGGGGUCAGGCCCGGGGGAGGCCCCGUCAGCGUGGAGCUGGUGGGGCCCCGGAGCCACCGGCUGAGGCUGCACAGCCUGGGGCCCGAGGACGAAGGCAUAUACCACUGCACGCCCAGCGCCUGGGUGCAGCACGCCGACUACAGCUGGUACCAGGUGGGCAGCGCCCGGUCGGGGCCUGUCACAGUCUACCCCUACCUGCAUGCCCGGGACACCCUGCUCAUGCCCCUGCUGGUGGGGGCAGCCGUGGCCCUCGUCACCGGCGCCGCCAUCCUGAGCACCAUCACCUGCUGCUUCAUGAAGAGGCUGCGGAAACGAUGAGCCCUGCCCCCCGGCCCAGGUGAGGGAAAGCACCCGCCUUGCCUUCUCAUGCCCUGUGUCACAGGUGUUGAGUGUCUUCCAGCCCAGCUCCAAGCCCACCUCUGGUCACCCGGACACCCUCUCUCUCUGGCUGCUCUUCCUUUAAUUUAUUUGACCUGCCCCCACUCUCAGGGGGGGCCUGGCCUCCAUUUCCUCCUGAUCCCUCCCGCUGGCUCCGUGUUCCAUCUCUCACACCAUCCUCCAGGGAGGCCUUCCCAUCCCGCUCGUUUUUCUAAGAUGUGAAUAAACUCGUUUUAUAAAA